AAAUUUAAUUAUGUGUGGUCUAAAGAAGUUCUACCUCUGUCCAUUGGCCUCCAGAGUCACACAAAAUUAUUUCUUGAUUCCUACAUCAGAGGUUUUCAGGCAGAGCCUUUGUACCAAGAAUUCCUUUUAUAUUUUGGACACCAAAGAUUAUGGCAUGAUAUAUCCUGAUGAUUAACAAUUUAGCAGUGGGCACAUUUAUUUGAGUCCUGCUCUUGGAUUUAUUUCCCACCUUUGGGUCUUACGUACAUUUUGUAUUUCUGUCCUGAGGACUUUUUGCCUCAGGCAGUUUUUAAAUCAAAAAAAUAUAUAUAUAUUUAUUAGGUUUCUAAUUUAUAGAGUUUCCAAUUUCUCCCACAAUUUUAAAUGUUUUCACUGCCAAAGUUAGCAGUAGAUUUGCUAGGUUAAUGCCAUGGUCAGUAAUAGUUUGUACCUUUUAUGUUGUAGCCUGAAAAUGUAACUCUAACCCCGUAGGCCUGAAACCUGGUGGGAAGAUGAUUGAAAGUGUUUUAGAUUCAACAGAUUGACUAUGUAUGACUUAUCUAUUAAAAUGAAGAACUUCCAUGGUUUAAUAGAAUGAAUGCUGUAUUCAACAAGGUCUUCCAUCCUUCUUAUAAAUCUUAAGACUGUGUUUAAGCUUUCUUUCACUUUUACUCUAUCCCUUGGAAGUUAAUUGGGAAUAAAAAGAUUUAUCAAUUUAGUCACUAUAAUUUAAGGCCAGGCAUCUGCUUGGAAAUACAAUAACCACAAUUAAUACUUAGAGAAAAUUGUUUCAACAGAUUAACUCUGCUAUUUUAAAAACUAUAGUAGUGUUCUUUGAGGAUGCAUUUACUUUUCCCCAAAUUUGAUAGAUAGUUAUUUUUAUAUAUUUUUUCUGGCCACUUGGCUUCUAACUGAUUAACAUGAAAAACGCACGUGUGCCUGUUUCACUCAAAUCAUAUUUUACAACUUUUUAAAAGCUGCUACAGUUAUAGUUUGUGAAAGAGGAGAAAGGUGAAUUGCAACAGAGGGAAAUUACUGUUACUGUGUCAAAUAUGUGACUGAUGCUUUUGGUCAGAUAAUCUGCUGCCUGUCAAUAUUUGUAAUAACAGAAUUUUUUGUUAAGAGUACUCUCAUCUUUAUUUUGCUGCUCACUGAUUUUUUACACUAAGAUGUUCUCAUCUUUGUCGACUCACUGUUUUUGCUUCAUAUUUGUCUGUGUACUUGUGCUCUAAAUAAAAAUCUAGUUUUAUGUCUA
rnacentral:lncRNA from 1 species